CCUACGGGUGGCAGCAGUGGGGAAUAUUGCACAAUGAGGGAAACCCUGAUGCAGCGACGCCGCGUGAGUGAAGAAGUAAUUCGUUAUGUAAAGUUCUAUCAGCAGGGAAGAAAAUGUCGGUACCUAAGUGAUAAGCCACGGCUAACUACGUGCCAGCAGCCGCGGUCAUACGUAGGGGGCAAGCGUUAUCCGGAUUUACUGGGUGAAGAGUUAGCGGAAACGGUAGUGCAAGUCUGGAGUGAAGGGCGGGGGCUCAACCCCCGGAUUGCUCUGGAAACUGUACGGCUGGAGUGAAGGAGAGGUAAGUGGAAUUCCUAGUGAAGCGGUGAAAUGCGUAGAUAUUAGGAGGAACACCAGUGGCGAAGGCGGCUUACUGGACUGUAACUGACGUUGAGGCUCGAAAGCGUGGGGAGCAAACAGGAUUAGAUACCCCGGUAGUC
rnacentral:rRNA from 1 species